GGAGGGUGUAGCUCAGUGGUAGAGUGUGUGCUUAGCAUGCACGAAGUCCUGGGUUCAAUCCCCAGCACCUCCA
rnacentral:tRNA from 1 species